ACCCGCUCAGAGCGUCCUUCGUGGCGCCCGGAGCAGCAGAGACAGACUGUGCCCUGGGAAGUUCUGGGCACUUCAGGGCGUU
rnacentral:sRNA from 1 species